GUAGAGCGUUGGUUAGCUGGAAGGGACUAGGAGAGUCCGCUCCUCCGUAAGGGAUCAGGAGCGUGCAAAGCCCCAGCAAAGAAUGGCCCCAGAUUUCAUCUGCAAAGCUCAGAGAAGCAUCUCACUCCCUGAGGUUCAGGUACCGAGGUACCAGGGGACACAUCCAACAGCCAGUAAGAUAAUAGGGAUCAAGAAGUCCUCCGCGUAGAGGAACCUGCCACAUCCUUCUCAACAACAGAAGAUUCCAAGUCCACUCAGCCCCGGCCACGUCUAUUGUUCGAGUGUCUCUCCUUCACACAGGAGGAUGACUAUUUCUUUAGGUGCGUGUAAGUCUGGGAGAAUCACACGCCGCUCCCUCUCCCGAGGUGUGAGUGCGGACUCCCUGACCACCCACGAUGUGCUCAGUCUCUUUUCCAAGGGAGAGAAAAGAAACAAAUUGCCCCUUGCACUUCCUGAAACUGAACAAAGGUGCCAUCGCUAAAGAUUAGCAAGACGCUACGGAUUUGCACUGAACCCCACCUGCUCUGUGAAAACCCCACGGUUUUCUCACAAUCCCACUCAAGCUGCUGAGCAAUUGGGCCUUGUCUUCUGAGUGUGGUUAUUCGUCAGCUUGACUUCUGUUUGCUCUGCCGGUUCAUUGUUUUCUCAUGCCAUGCCACAGCCAGCGACCGGGAGAGGAGAAGGCAGAGCCUUGGGGCCGGCUCCCGGGCCCCUGCAGAGGGGCAGACUUUCCCGGCGGGCAGACAGAUCGGCGGCGACCCUAGGUGUGUUUUGAACGUGUGCCCGGGGCUCACGGAGCCUGAUGCAGCUUUGCUGCUGUGUGGGGUGGACUGCGGCAGUGUGAGCCUUGUGUCUGCAGAGGGGACAUGAGGACAUCUGGACCGUGUCCCUGCGAGCAGGGCUUUUGCUGCAGGCCUUUGAAAAUCCUGCCGCAACGGCCCCCAGCGCCUUGGAACUUUCUCCCUGGAGAAUUUAGAAGAGCCGGUGGCCUUGAUUUCUUGGCCAUCUACAGCCUCCACACGUGCAGGGCUGUCCCCGAGCAGGGUGAUUCAGGGGGUCCAGGAAGCGUUUUGCACAGCCCUUCUCUCUAAGAGCCUAAAACCAGGACCGGGGUCAUGCAUGCCUCUCUCCCGUCCUCAGCCACCUAGCUGUGCUGUCUUGAACAAGUGACUUCAUCUCUCUGGGCUUCUCCCCGCACACACCGCACUCCCCCC